GCGGGAAUAGCUCAGUUGGUAGAGCACGACCUUGCCAAGGUCGGGGUCGCGAGUUCGAGUCUCGUUUCCCGAUU
rnacentral:tRNA from 1 species